AUACGGCUCACAAGCCUCUGUUCUUGUUGUCAUCCUGACAGCCAAAUUUCGAGAAGCUGGCUUCAUGGACAGAGGAAAGAAGCUGCAGGGAGCACAGCCCAAGGUGGUGUGGCAGACCCACUUAUGAAGCUCUCCCACUUGCCUGCAUGAAACAAAAUCACGAUGCAUGUUAAGGCGCAGAGAGCAACGCUCGCUAUCCGAUUUUGGCACCUGGCUGGAUCAGUUGGUACAACAUGCUGCCGCCGUCCCUGGUAAAUAAACCUGGAAGAACUAUCCGUCCCAUCUGCCGGUACAUAUGUCAUCUGAUGUAAACUCACCGGGAUGGGAGCUUCCACCUUGCUGAGUCCGAAUCAGCACGCGCUCGUCUGCCAGGUGGUUGUAAUACGUUCACUCGGAGGCUAAUGUAUGAAUCCUUUCAUUAAAAGAGCACGGCAGUUAAUUAGAGAGCUCCAAAUGUGCCGUUUAAUAGACGGACUGCGUGGACCUGCUUGAUAAAUAUAAUUAAAAUUCACUUUGUGUGCUUAGAAGAUACUUAAUGUCAUCAACUUUGAUGCUUUUGCUUUUCAUGUUGUGUAAAUGUAUGUACGGAAAAUCCGCCACCCACUUUUUCCAUUUUUAUGUGAAUUGAGUUCCUGGUAAAGGACUUAAUAAAGUUUUUUUUUAAAAACAACACUUUGUUAAACAUUUAAACCGUUUAAGUAAAUCUAAUUCCUGUCUUAACCUUCCCUGUGAUUAUUUGCAAUAAAUUCCAUUUCAACCUUUUAGAAAUCUGAACC